CCUACGGGAGGCAGCAGUGAGGAAUAUUGGUCAAUGGACGGAAGUCUGAACCAGCCAAGUGGCGUGCAGGAUGACGGCCCUAUGGGUUGUAAACUGCUUUUGAAGGGGAGUAAAGUGAGUGACUUGUCAUUCAUUGCAAGUACCCUUGGAAUAAGGACCGGCUAAUUCCGUGCCAGCAGCCGCGGUAAUACGGAAGGUCCGGGCGUUAUCCGGAUUUAUUGGGUUUAAAGGGAGCGUAGGCUGCCCGGCAAGCGUGCUGUGAAAUACAGUGGCCCAACCACUGGACUGCAGCGCGAACUGUCGGGCUUGAGGGCGCACGACGCAGGCGGAAUUUGUGGUGUAGCGGUGAAAUGCUUAGAUAUCACGAAGAACCCCGAUUGCGAAGGCAGCUUGCGGGAGCGCGACUGACGCUGAAGCUCGAAAGUGCGGGUAUCAAACAGGAUUAGAUACCCUGGUAGUCCGCACGGUAAACGAUGGAUGCCCGUUCUGCGGCCUUCGGGCCGCGGGACCAAGCGAAAGCAUUAAGCAUCCCACCUGGGGAGUACGCCGGCAACGGUGAAACUCAAAGGAAUUGACGG
rnacentral:rRNA from 1 species